UCUACCCACAGACAAGGGCCCAUCUUC
rnacentral:piRNA from 1 species